rnacentral:rRNA from 1 species
UACGAAGGGGGCUAGCGUUGCUCGGAAUCACUGGGCGUAAAGCGCACGUAGGUGGCUUUUUAAGUCAGGGGUGAAAUCCUGGAGCUCAACUCCAGAACUGCCUUUGAUACUGAGAAGCUUGAGUCCGGGAGAGGUGAGUGGAACUGCGAGUGUAGAGGUGAAAUUCGUAGAUAUUCGCAAGAACACCAGUGGCGAAGGCAGCACACUGGCCCGGUCCUGACGCUGAGGUGCGAAAGCGUGGGGAGCAAACAGG